rnacentral:rRNA from 1 species
UAAGGAAUAUUGGACAAUGGGCGGAAGCCUGAUCCAGCCAUGCCGCGUGAAGGAUGAAGGCGCUCAGCGUUGUAAACUUCUUUUGGAUGGGGACAAACCACUUCAUUUAUGGGGUGCUGAGGGUACCAUCAGAAUAAGCACCGGCUAACUCCGUGCCAGCAGCCGCGGUAAUACGGAGGGUGCAAGCGUUAUCCGGAAUCACUGGGUUUAAAGGGUGCGUAGGCGGUUUGAUAAGUCAGUUGUGAAAUUCCCCGGCUUAACCGGGUGGACUGCGAUUGAUACUGUCAGACUUGAAUCAGGUUGAGGUAGGCGGAAUGUGACAUGUAGCGGUGAAAUGCUUAGAUAUGUCAUAGAACACCGAUUGCGAAGGCAGCUUGCUAGACCUGGAUUGACGCUGAGGCACGAAAGCGUGGGGAGCAAACA